rnacentral:rRNA from 1 species
UGGGGAAUUUUGGACAAUGGGCGAAAGCCUGAUCCAGCAAUGCCACGUGUGUGAAGAAGGCCUUCGGGUUGUAAAGCACUUUUGUCCGGAAAGAAAUCCUUGGCUCUAAUACAGUCGGGGGAUGACGGUACCGGAAGAAUAAGCACCGGCUAACUACGUGCCAGCAGCCGCGGUAAUACGUAGGGUGCAAGCGUUAAUCGGAAUUACUGGGCGUAAAGCGUGCGCAGGCGGUUUGCUAAGACCGAUGUGAAAUCCCCGGGCUCAACCUGGGAACUGCAUUGGUGACUGGCAGGCUAGAGUAUGGCAGAGGGGGGUAGAAUUCCACGUGUAGCAGUGAAAUGCGUAGAGAUGUGGAGGAAUACCGAUGGCGAAGGCAGCCCCCUGGGCCAAUACUGACGCUCAUGCACGAAAGCGUGGGGAGCAAACAGGAUUCAGAUACCCUGGUAGUCCACGCCCUAAACGAUGUCAACUAGUUGUUGGGGAUUCAUUUCCUUAGUAACGUAGCUAACGCGUGAAGUUGACCGCCUGGGGAGUACGGUCGCAAGAUUAAAACUCAAAUGAAUUGACGGGGUCAUAGCUGUUUCCU